GAAGAAUGUCAAGCCUUUUGUUGAGUGGCUACAGAAUGCCGAGUCAGAAUCGGAAGAGGAGUGACUACUUGAGAGCUAUUCUCUCACGUUCAGUUAGUGUUGUUACUUUGUUCAUGGAAUAAAGUUGGUCAUGUUAUAGUUUCUGGGGAGUUGAAAUAAUCGGGGAUCAUUGACGGGUUGCAUUUCUGUGUUUUGUGUCGGUCAGUGAUUUCUGGUGGGACUCUCGUAGUCUUCAUUGGAGAGUCUUGUGUCUCUUUAACAUUGACACAUUGUGCGCUUGUUGUGAUUUGUGUGGAUUUGCAUUUAUAUGCCUAAUUGCUAGCUUGAGUUUGUUUGAUGAUUAUUAAUUUCUCAAUGCGUUUUAUAUUUCAUUAUUGGUGUGCCAUUGUGCAUGGAAAACAACAACGUUGCCUGGAAGGACAGAAUCAAUAUCUUUGGUUUUACAAUAAAAU
rnacentral:misc_RNA from 1 species